CUUUCAACAACGGAUCUCUUGGUUCUGGCAUCGAUGAAGAACGCAGCGAAAUGCGAUAAGUAAUGUGAAUUGCAGAAUUCAGUGAAUCAUCGAAUCUUUGAACGCACAUUGCGCCCCUCGGUAUUCCGGGGGGCAUAUCUAUUCGAGCGUC
rnacentral:rRNA from 1 species